GAUGAACGCUGGCGGCGUGCCUAAUACAUGCAAGUCGAACGAGUUCUCGUUGAUGAUCGGUGCUUGCACCGAGAUUCAACAUGGAACGAGUGGCGGACGGGUGAGUAACACGUGGGUAACCUGCCCUUAAGUGGGGGAUAACAUUUGGAAACAGGUGCUAAUACCGCAUAGAUCCAAGAACCGCAUGGUUCUUGGCUGAAAGAUGGCGUAAGCUAUCGCUUUUGGAUGGACCCGCGGCGUAUUAGCUAGUUGGUGAGGUAAUGGCUCACCAAGGCGAUGAUACGUAGCCGAACUGAGAGGUUGAUCGGCCACAUUGGGACUGAGACACGGCCCAAACUCCUACGGGAGGCAGCAGUAGGGAAUCUUCCACAAUGGACGCAAGUCUGAUGGAGCAACGCCGCGUGAGUGAAGAAGGCUUUCGGGUCGUAAAACUCUGUUGUUGGAGAAGAAUGGUCGGCAGAGUAACUGUUGUCGGCGUGACGGUAUCCAACCAGAAAGCCACGGCUAACUACGUGCCAGCAGCCGCGGUAAUACGUAGGUGGCAAGCGUUAUCCGGAUUUAUUGGGCGUAAAGCGAGCGCAGGCGGUUUUUUAAGUCUGAUGUGAAAGCCCUCGGCUUAACCGAGGAAGCGCAUCGGAAACCGGGAAACUUGAGUGCAGAAGAGGACAGUGGAACUCCAUGUGUAGCGGUGAAAUGCGUAGAUAUAUGGAAGAACACCAGUGGCGAAGGCGGCUGUCUGGUCUGUAACUGACGCUGAGGCUCGAAAGCAUGGGUAGCGAACAGGAUUAGAUACCCUGGUAGUCCAUGCCGUAAACGAUGAAUGCUAGGUGUUGGAGGGUUUCCGCCCUUCAGUGCCGCAGCUAACGCAUUAAGCAUUCCGCUUGGGGAGUACGACCGCAAGGUUGAAACUCAAAGGAAUUGACGGGGGCCCGCACAAGCGGUGGAGCAUGUGGUUUAAUUCGAAGCAACGCGAAGAACCUUACCAGGUCUUGACAUCUUUUGAUCACCUGAGAGAUCAGGUUUCCCCUUCGGGGGCAAAAUGACAGGUGGUGCAUGGUUGUCGUCAGCUCGUGUCGUGAGAUGUUGGGUUAAGUCCCGCAACGAGCGCAACCCUUAUGACUAGUUGCCAGCAUUUAGUUGGGCACUCUAGUAAGACUGCCGGUGACAAACCGGAGGAAGGUGGGGAUGACGUCAAAUCAUCAUGCCCCUUAUGACCUGGGCUACACACGUGCUACAAUGGAUGGUACAACGAGUUGCGAGACCGCGAGGUCAAGCUAAUCUCUUAAAGCCAUUCUCAGUUCGGACUGUAGGCUGCAACUCGCCUACACGAAGUCGGAAUCGCUAGUAAUCGCGGAUCAGCACGCCGCGGUGAAUACGUUCCCGGGCCUUGUACACACCGCCCGUCACACCAUGAGAGUUUGUAACACCCGAAGCCGGUGGCGUAACCCUUUUAGGGAGCGAGCCGUCUAAGGUGGGACAAAUGAUUAGGGUGAAG
rnacentral:rRNA from 1 species